rnacentral:rRNA from 1 species
UACAGAGGGGGCCAGCGUUAUUCGGAAUUAUUGGGCGUAAAGGGCGCGUAGGCGGCCAUGCGUGUCUUCCGUGAAAUCCCUCGGCUUAACCGAGGACGUGCGGAAGAAACUGCAAGGCUCGAGUCCGGAAGAGGGGGGCGGAAUUCCCAGUGUAGCGGUGAAAUGCGUAGAUAUCCGGAGGAAUACCAAAGGCGAAGGCAGUGUCCUGGAGGGUGACUGACGCUGAGGCGCGAAAGCUAGGGGAGCGAACAGG